CGAGCGGACUUGAUGGAGUGCUUGCACUCCUGAUGGUUAGCGGCGGACGGGUGAGUAACACGUAGGCAACCUGCCCUCAAGACUGGGAUAACUACCGGAAACGGUAGCUAAUACCGGAUAAUUUAUUACAUAGCAUUAUGUGAUAAUGAAAGACGGAGCAAUCUGUCACUUGGGGAUGGGCCUGCGGCGCAUUAGCUAGUUGGUGGGGUAACGGCCCACCA
rnacentral:rRNA from 1 species